rnacentral:rRNA from 1 species
GACGAACGCGGGCGGCGGGCCGAAUACAUGCAAGUCGAACGCUUCUUUCCUCCCGAGUGCUUGCACUCAAUUGGAAAGAGGAGUGGCGGACGGGUGAGUAACACGUGGGUAACCUACCCAUCAGAGGGGGAUAACACUUGGAAACAGGUGCUAAUACCGCAUAACAGUUUAUGCCGCAUGGCAUAAGAGUGAAAGGCGCUUUCGGGUGUCGCUGAUGGAUGGACCCGCGGUGCAUUAGCUAGUUGGUGAGGUAACGGCUCACCAAGGCCACGAUGCAUAGCCGACCUGAGAGGGUGAUCGGCCACACUGGGACUGAGACACGGCCCAGACUCCUACGGGAGGCAGCAGUAGGGAAUCUUCGGCAAUGGACGAAAGUCUGACCGAGCAACGCCGCGUGAGUGAAGAAGGUUUUCGGAUCGUAAAACUCUGUUGUUAGAGAAGAACAAGGACGUUAGUAACUGAACGUCCCCUGACGGUAUCUAACCAGAAAGCCACGGCUAACUACGUG